AGGGGAAAGAACCUGUGUAAUCACCUGAAGACAAACGGUCUUAACUUUCCAGAAGAUGACAGCUUUACAAAUGGAAAUGAUAAAUUAAGAGCGUCUGAGAGUCCAUCAAGGAAAGCAAAAACAAGGCAGGGGACGUGGAGGACAUCGAAACAAGCCAACGAAGUCCACAUCUGGUUUUCCCGCAAAAUCACCCCUAAGUGA
rnacentral:lncRNA from 1 species